ensembl:lncRNA PSMG3-AS1 PSMG3 antisense RNA 1 (head to head)
GGCUUCUGAGCGGCUCGGGUUCCGCGCUGCCGGCAGGGCUUGGGGGCGCCUUAGAGCCGAACCCCGUUUUUUCAGGAAAGGGCGCUGCGACCACCCCCGUCCCGGGCCUCAGCCCCUCUGCUGCAGACCCUCGGGAUCGUCGCUGGAAAGAUUCUGAAGCUUGGCGGAGAGGGGUGUGUGAGUGGACACCAGUGAAGUAACGGUUUUUGUGUUACGAUGAUUUCUGUUUUCCUCUGCUGCCCUGUAAUGGCAGGAACUCGGAUAGUCUGGUCUUCAGACCAGGAGGACUCCCAGGAGAGAACGGAGAGCCAGUGUGCUGUGUGUCACGGUCCCUGGAUGAACGUUUGUGGAACUGGAUUGAAUUAAACAAGACGUGCAAAGCAAGUGGUUCACGAGAUUCGAUUGCUGUAGGGACCCCGUGGGUGUGGAAUCAGACAGUAUUGGUCCUUUCAUGACUGGCUUAUUUCACAAAACCCGAUGCCGUCGAGGUCCAUCCAUGCUGAGAUAUUUACGGAGCAUCCCCAGCUGCUGGAUGCUGGGACCCACCAGUGGGCAAGAGGGCCGUGCCCACCCCUUCCUGGAAGAGACACUCACUCAGUAAAUGCAGAGAUUCAGUGUUGGGGUAACCCCAGCACACAGCCCUGAGGGAGGAAGCCCAGUGAUUUGAUCGGAUUUGCUUUUCUCUUCUGCCUCGGAUUCUGUCCAACCCCUGGAAGGACCUCUGAGGUGUCCCGUGGCUGGUUCUAGGCCCCAUUCAAGCCUCCUCCUCCAGGAAGCCUUCCCAGUCCUGGGCAUCUGUAGCCAGCUCGGUGUUUCUCACCUGGGGCCUGGGACGUCUCCCAUUCUGAACUGCCGUGUUUUGGGUUUACUGUUCUCUGGCUUUUGGUCCCAGCCGGACGGUGGCCUCUUGUGUUCAGGGACAAGGCAAGGAGCAUCCAUGCACCCCCACAGUACCCAGGCUGGGUCUGUGCCCGCCAGGCCCCCGGCAAAGCUUGGAUGAUCCGGGCUGGGCUGUUCUCCUGCUGCUCUCCUGCUGCUGGCCUCGCUGUAUCAGCUGAUGGCCAUCGCGCCUCCUGCACCCGUCAUCCCGCCCUGCACGCCCCCGCCACGUGGAUGAGCUCCCUGGGGAGUUAAUGGCUAAUGGAGUCUCCGCUCUCUCUUGUCAAAUGCAGCCAUCAUCCGCUGGUGCUUUAAGGGACUCUCUCCCGUCCCCACCCUAUUCUCAGGUGGCUCCUACCGACACCACCUAAUGGUGAACCCCAACACGAGGACACAGGCAGUGCCCUCUCAGGACCACUGUGGGUGCCACCAGGCACGACUUCCUAAACACCCACAGAGCAAAAACCUGGAAAUUCAGCCGAGGCACUGGGACCCCAACCUCUCCCAGAGUGGCCCCAGCUCCACGGCGUCUGCAUGGCUCUGGCCGUGAGCAGAGCAGCCCCGACCUCCGUCCUGACCCAGGGCGCCGGAGCGCCACUGCGGAUCUCACCACCACACAAGCCAGACCUGCUAGGAAGCCCUUCCCGGCCACCAGCUCUCGGGCGAUGCACACAACAGGGCCUUUUGAAUUCCCUGAGGUUAAGGUUCCCCUUGAGUCUCCUGGGCUACAAGCAAAUCCCCCGAGGGGAGAAGUCCAGGCUGACACAGCCUCCUGCACCCCUGCCUUGGGAGGCCACACCUCGUUUGCCUCUAGAACCGACGACUGGGGAGCACUGUUUGCAGAGUUCUCUCUCUCUGGGUAAGUUCCGGAGCCACAUCUCACUGGAUCCACCACGGCCUGGGUGGACGGCUCUCGUGUGUUUAUAGCUGGGUCCCUCGCUUGGGAGCUGCCUCCGGGUGGGCGGCCUCUCCAGCCUGUUUGAGUGCUCCACCCGGAGCAGGAAGAGGGCCGUGUGCUCUGGGCAGUGGUUCCUUGGGCACUGCAUGGUCCUUGCUUCCCUCCAGGGCCCACCUUCCCUGGCCGCUGCAUCCCAGCCGAGGGCAGGCCCCUUUUGCCAGCUGAAGGCAGAAAGGCCGGCAGCCCUGGGGUGGCGGCGGGCAGAGAAACCCCCCGGAGUGGUCUCCGUUCUUCUAAAAGUGAUGUUGACCCCCGUGUCGCAGGCAGCUGGCAGGGUGGCAGUUCGAUCUGUCGUUACGGGCUUGCACCACUGCGGUCUCCCACCCAGGGAGCAGCUCUGUCCAACCACAGCGAGCCUCCAGCUCCUACCCUCUGCCUGGGCUGGGGCAGAGCCUGGGGUCUGGGUGGGAGAAGCGUGACUCUGGGAUGAGACCUUACAAAGCAGGUUCCUCCUGGGAGUCAGCCCGGGUCUAAACGCAGCUGGGCAUGAAGGGGUGCCAUCGGAUGUCGAGUUAGGAGGACGAGAGACCUCCAGCCCCGGCACCCGCAUGUCUCUUUGGAAACCAGCUUUGGCUGCGCCCCUGGGGACACUGUCUGCCGUGGCCUCCCGCUCUCCUCCCCGGCACAGGCAGGGGGUCUCCCUCCUCCACCGCCACUCCCUUGGCCUCGCCCUCCCCGCCAGGCACCUGGCUUUUCCCCACCGACCCCCCCGGGGGACUGCGGCCCCCAGAAAGGCUGCACUCUGGGAGCAAAGUGGCCUGAAACCAGAGAAAAGAACGCCGGGGGAUUUGGCUUAAACUCGUUAAACCCAAUGAACCCUCUUGCCGAA